rnacentral:piRNA from 1 species
UCGUGGGUCCAACUUAUCGAAUGUUCCAUU